AAGUCGUAACAAGGUUUCCGUAGGUGAACCUGCGGAAGGAUCAUUAUUACGUAUCCACGUAUCAACCCAAUCGUGAACUGUUUCCCGUCUGAUGAGGAUUUCUGCGAUCAAACGCAAACACAAAUGCAUGUUGGACUGAAGGGUUGGAAGUUUACUUCCUUCUUCAGCAAAGUUUGGUCGGUCCUAGUUGCAGGUCUUCGGACCUGGGAUUUAGCUCAACAGAUGUGGUUUUUCUCCAACCAUGCGCACAAUUAACCCCUUGUACAAACAAAUUGAACUAAACAAUCGCUACCUGAUAAAAAGGGUGGUGAACAACUGAAAUUAUAAAACAACUCUUAACGACGGAUAUCUUGGUUCUCGUACCGAUGAAAAACGCAGC
rnacentral:misc_RNA from 1 species